GAAAAACACAUACGGCACACAGUAUGACUCCGUCUACGGCGCGUACAAAAACAGGGAGAGCGACAACGUUUUCUUUGUGCCGUUCAUGACCGACGGUAACGGCAACAACACGCCCACCAACUUACCGGCAGAAGACCCGGAUAUUGCUGAUGCAGGUUAUUACGGCGCGCAAUCCCGUAGUAAUGGUAAUUGGGUAUCAUCAAACCGCCCGACACAUUUCAGUUCAUGGGCGCGCAGGAGCAUUAUUCCGGAUCGUAUGGCAACCGCUAUUCUGAACGCAGCCGGGCGCACCUCAGCCUUCAUCAGUGGUAAGGCACCGGAAAUCAAACCCUCGCCCGGCGGCGACACUCCAUCGGGGCCGUCUGAUGGUGACACAUCCGUUCGUACAGUCUCCCUGCUGCCGACAGCCGGAGAGGCUGCUGCGCAGGGCUGGACCAUCACCGGCGGCAGUGUUGCGCUGGAAGAUGGUGUGUUUAAGGUUACCAAGCAGAGCAAUAAAACCUGGUCCCUGAUGCAUCCGGUGGAUGACGCAGUCUCCCUGCUGACACGGGGUGGCAGACUGAGCUGUAAGUUUCGACUGUCAGGCGCACUGACCAACAACCAGUUCGGUCUGGGAAUUUAUCUGUAUACCGAUGUAGCGUUACCUGACGUCGUGGCGAUGACCGGGACUGGUAACCCGUUCCUGAUGUCGUUCUUCACCCAGACCACAGGCGGCAAACUGAAUCUGAUGCAUCACAAGAAAGCCGGAAACACAAAGUUGGGCGAGUUCGGGAAUUACAG
rnacentral:rRNA from 1 species